UCACCAGUAAUUACAAGAGUGUGUACACUGGGAGAAUGAAGAUUGGGAAGGUGGGAGGUAGGACGUGAUUCCCCUUUGGAGUAAUCAGGACUGGGAAAGGUUUCAUUCCAUGCAAACGUGACGAACUUUGUAAAGGAAAACUACUACCGGGAUGGUUGAUAAACCGUUAGAGUUGAAGGAAACCCAGGAGGACAAAGUAAACCAUUCUGAACAACACCAAGAUGUCAUGAUGGUUCCCUACAGUAUAUUCUUGAGCAGGAUGGUUCCCUACAGUAUAUUCUUGAAGACUUUGGACAAUCUAGUUUUGGCUUCAGCCACUUGUCUUGGAGACUAUUCCACAGUGAAAUAAACUAUCAGAAAAUUUUCCAAUAUUACACAGCCUAUAAUAUUUCCCCUUUUUGAAAUUCAUCCAUUAUACCUACCUUCUACCUCAUGAAGUAUUGGAAUACAGGAAUUGCCAUACUGGAUCAGACCAGAGGGCCAUCUAGUCCACUAUGCCAUCUCUGAUAGUGGCCAACACUGGAAGGAAGGUAUAAGAACACAGAGGGUUUGUGGCUGCUGCAGUAGGCAAAUGUGGAACAAUGUGCCCUCUACAAUAGGUCUCAUCCUAGUUUGUAAUAGUUAAAGAUUGGCUUAAACUCUCAAGCACAAGGUUUCACAUUCCUUCUAGAAUUUUUGUUAACAACAAUUAUAACUGUGGAUGUUCCUGUUAUCCAUAUAAAUGUUCAUUCCCUUUGGAACUUACUAAAUUCUUCGACUCAAUGACUUCCUAUGGCAAUGAGUUCCACAGUCUGAUUAUACAUUGUUUGAAAAAAAGGUAUUUCCUUUAAUUAGUUUGAAAUUUGCCACCUUUCAAUUUCAUUGAAUGUCCUGUUGUUCUUGUGUUAUGAGACAGGGAGAACAGAAGCUCCUGAUGGGGAGAAAUAUGAGCUCUUCCCUCUUGGAAUGGGGCCAAGAGUCUCAUGCUGCCUUCCCAGCUCCUCUCAGCCAUCAGCCUUCAUCCUGGCUCUCAUCUAUUGUCUUAUCCAUUUCUUACUUACCUCUGGUCUAAAAUCCUCACUGUUUUACCUUCCUUCUUCUGGUUCCUGCCCUGAAAAAGAGGUUGGGAACCAGAAGAGGAGUAGAAUCAUUGGACUGGAAGGGAAGUCUGCUAAGUCCAGUCCCUUGCACUCAAGGCAGGACGAAGUAUUAUCUAGACCAUACCUGAGAGGUGUUUGUCUAGCCUGCUCUUAAAAAUCUCUAAUGCCAGAGAUUCCACAGCCUCCCUAAGCACUUUAUUCCAGUGCCUAACUACCCUGACAGGAAGUUUUUCCUAAUGUCUAAACUAAAUCACUCUUGCUGCAGUUGAAGCCCAUUGCUUCUUGUCCCGUCCUCAGAGGUUAAGAAAAACAAGUUUUCUCCCUCCUCCUUGUAACAAGCUUAUGGUCAUAUCAGAAUGCCAAAGGACAGUUGUUCCUGGCAAGAGGAGAUGGGUCAGAUCAGAAAUGGCUCCAGCAGCCAAAAACCCUCUAUCAUACAGCACUCAUUCGUGGCUCCCUAGUUCAGAACUGCCAAUACGAUGACAAGGGUCUCACCCCAAAUUGAUUCUCUUUAGCCUGUGACAAACCCCAUGUGUUCCGGCAAAAAGUAAGGGAUUUGGGCAUGUAUUUAUUCUCCAUGAUCUCUCUCACUCCCAAAAUCUUUUUGCUAUAUGCUAUAAACAGAGAUGGAGGCAGCACAACAAAGCAAACAAACAUCUAUUAAGGUGCAUUUUAUUGAAAAUAUUUAUACUUUUCCCCAGUAAAAAUAUAUUUAGUAUAGAACUGCAUAACAGUGUGCACCUUCUAUUGUUUGAAGAGGAAACUAGGGUCCAAGGAUAAAGACCUUUUAGGGUGCCGGAGGUUGUUCUUGUCAAAGAAGUUUUUUUAAAUAGCCACCUUUUGGUCCAUACCAAUGGUGAUAAAAUUGGCCUUUGAAAGUAUUUUAUGAGUCCCAGGGAAAUCAUCUUCGGCAGUGAUGACACUGUCCAGAAUGGGGGUGCAUUCCAUAAAAAGCAGUGAAAACAUUCCAACCUCCCUUCAGUUUGGUGGCUGCAUUUUAACAAAAGGCUCCUUGGAACCCCCAAAAACCUUCUGUAGCACAUCAGUGGGCUCUCCACUAAAUCCUGGAAACUAGCCAGUCUCCAGGUGACAAGUACUGGGUAAUAAUAAGUUUCUUAAUGAUUAAAAACUCUCAUACGUCCUGCAAAUACUUGACAGCGAAACCUGAAGGUAGUAGGGCAGGAUUGUGCCAUCCUGUCAUAAUUUUCUUUGCAAACUGGACAGGAAUAGCUUACACAAGAACUGGCUUCUCUGUAGAAGACAAUCUUUCAAUUGAAAGUAUAUUUUGUGAGAAGUAAAGAAAAGUAGGGUAUGUGUGAACAAACUGCUGUGGCAACAAAACACAACCACACAGCUCACGACAGUUUUCUCACACAAGUCUUCUUGUCGGCUUCUGACACAACAUUGCAAAUAUGUACCAGACACCCUCUAAUAAAGCCCUUCCUUUUAGGAAGCAACUCAAGUACGUGGACUGCUCUUCCUCAAAAAUAAAGCUAGUUCCCCUCUCUGUCCCCUAAUUUGACUCAGUCACUGGAUAUCUUGCUUCAAAUUAUCUUUUGGUAGCUGGGUAACUUCCAUACUUUGGAGAGAAGAAAUUGCAAAAAAAAAAAAAAAAGGAUUAAAUACUAUAUCCAUCAAUAAUCUAUAAUAGACUAUACAAGAUUAUAUUGGGUUUGAGGAAAUGCCUUUUGAAACACUGACAAAUUUAAGGCCUUAGUAAAAAUUAAAUCCUAGCAUUGUUGCUGUUUCAGUUUGUGUGAGAACUUCCUGUUUUGUUUUGGCUGGUAUGAGAGUGAGGGUGAACUGUUGAUAUUCCUGUUCUUCUGAUAGACUAUCACAUGAUAUGUUUAAAAAUAAGCUUGCCUCCUUUGUGUAUGAGCAAGCCUUGGUGAACAAUGUCUUGUAUUGCAGCUAUGUUUGUAUUUGGCACAAAAAACAACCUGUUAAGGAGGUAGUGUGAAAAGAAAAGUGAUUUUCAUAAGCUUAUUUCAAAACAGUAUCCAGAAAGGAUGUGGGAAUCGAUACAACAUUGGU